rnacentral:tRNA from 1 species
UGCAAGGGUGGCGGAGUCCGGUCAAUCGCGCAGGACUUAAGAUCCUGUGACCUAGCGUCUACGUAGGUUCAAAUCCUACCUCUUGCAU